AUUGUUCCCUGGCAGGGUGGGCAGGCCCUGGCACAGGGUGCCCAGAGCAGCUGGGGCUGCCCCUGGAUCCCUGGCAGUGCCCAAGGCCAGGCUGGACAUUGGGGCUGGAGCAGCCUGGGACAGUGGGAGGUGUCCCUGCCAUGGCUGGGCUUGGCAAUGAAUGUUCUUUAAAAAGGUCUUUUCAACCUGAACCAGUCUGAUUUUUAUGGUCUUACAUAUCUGAUAUCUAUAUAAUAUGUAUCAUAUAAUAAUCUCCUGCUCUCCUGCAGGUGCUGCUGCCUUCAAGAGAGUUACUGGAAGCUUGGGACCCUUGCAGUGCCAGGAAAAGGUGGUGACCAGAGAUGCUGCUGCUGCAGACAGGUUCUUGCUGCAGUGGAUGCUGCUGGGAACACAGUGCUCUGCAGGUGUAAAAUACCCACCUCACCCUAAAGGAUGGAAGUUUGGUGAGAGAGAAAGAGCAAGUGGGAUCCCUUGGAUCACUCAGAAUGUGGGAUUUCCAAGGUACCCCAAAGUUUCCUUUGGCAGGGUGUCCAGGAGGUCACUGUGUCCCUGGGGAUUUGUCCCCUGUGCAGAGGAGGGGGGACAGUCCACGGCUGGGAGGGGAUGAGCUCAGCAGGGUGGGAUUUAAUGGCUGGAUGUGGUGGGUGAUGGGUCCAAGGCUGCACUUGAUGGUCUCACAGGUCUUUUCCAGCCUCAAAGAUCCUGUGGUUCUGCAAAAUCCUGGUUUAAUUGUUGGCUCUAAAAUCUGGUUUCUUUUCCCCUCUUGCCUUGCUGAGCAGCUGGAUGGAGCAGCUGCUGAGUUUUUAACAAAACAGUACAUUGGGAUGCUCUGCAGUGCUCAGAUUUAGUAAUAUUGAGUAUUUUGCCAUCCAGUGAGGGAAGGAGAGAAUCCCUGUGAAGAAAAGAGAUCGCAGAGAAAGUGUCACAGCCAGAGCAGGGUGAGGAGAGAGUUCCACAAACUUCAGUGAGUCGGAGGCUGUGGCACCAUGGAUAUCCCAGAGAGGAGAGCCAGGACCUUGAGGGACCUCAAACCUGAUUUAACAAACUGCUCAUUCUAGUUGCGAAUUUAAAUUCUCAAGGACUAGGAAGAAAAGCUCAGGAAAUGGGGAAACAAACCUUCCCUUUGUCAGCUGCCAGUUUAACCUGGCAGGAGCGGGAGCUGGGCUGAUGCUCUGCCAGGGUGAACCGGGAUCCCGGGGCUCCCGGGGGCCGCUCGGAGCUGCCGUGACCUGCAUUU
rnacentral:lncRNA from 1 species